CCCUUAGAUGUUCUGGGCCGCACGCGCGCUACACUGACGAUGGCAACGAGUUUUUCCUUCGCCGAAAGGUGUGGGUAAUCUUUUGAAACAUCGUCGUGCUGGGGAUAGAUCAUUGCAAUUUUUGAUCUUGAACGAGGAAUUCCUAGUAAGCGCGAGUCAUCAGCUCGCGUUGAUUACGUCCCUGCCCUUUGUACACACCGCCCGUCGCUACUACCGAUUGAAUGGUUUAGUGAGGACUCCUGGUUGGCGCCGCCGCCCCGGCAACGGAGCAGCGGACUGCCGAAAAGUUGUUCAAACUUGAUCAUUUAGAGGAAGUAAAAGUCGUAACA
rnacentral:rRNA from 1 species